UACGAAGGGGGCUAGCGUUGUUCGGAUUUACUGGGCGUAAAGGGCGCGUAGGCGGUGCAAUAAGUCAGGCGUGAAAGCCCCGGGCUCAACCCGGGAAUUGCGCUUGAUACUGUUGCGCUUGAAUCCAGGAGAGGAUGGCGGAAUUCCCAGUGUAGAGGUGAAAUUCGUAGAUAUUGGGAAGAACACCAGUGGCGAAGGCGGUCAUCUGGCCUGGAAUUGACGCUGAGGCGCGAAAGCGUGGGGAGCAAACAGG
rnacentral:rRNA from 1 species